rnacentral:rRNA from 1 species
GACGAACGCUGUUGGCGUGCUUAACACAUGCAAGUCGAACGGAAAGGCCCUGCUUUUGUGGGGUGCUCGAGUGGCGAACGGGUGAGUAACACGUGAGUAACCUGCCCUUGACUUUGGGAUAACUUCAGGAAACUGGGGCUAAUACCGGAUAGGAGCUCCUGCUGCAUGGUGGGGGUUGGAAAGUUUCGGCGGUUGGGGAUGGACUCGCGGCUUAUCAGCUUGUUGGUGGGGUAGUGGCUUACCAAGGCUUUGACGGGUAGCCGGCCUGAGAGGGUGACCGGCCACAUUGGGACUGAGAUACGGCCCAGACUCCUACGGGAGGCAGCAGUGGGGAAUAUUGCACAAUGGGCGGAAGCCUGAUGCAGCAACGCCGCGUGCGGGAUGACGGCCUUCGGGUUGUAAACCGCUUUCGCCUGUGACGAAGCGUGAGUGACGGUGAUGGGUAAAGAAGCACCGGCUAACUACGUGCCAGCAGCCGCGGUGAUACGUAGGGUGCGAGCGUUGUCCGGAUUUAUUGGGCGUAAAGGGCUCGUAGGUGGUUGAUCGCGUCGGAAGUGUAAUCUUGGGGCUUAACCCUGAGCGUGCUUUCGAUACGGGUUGACUUGAGGAAGGUAGGGGAGAAUGGAAUUCCUGGUGGAGCGGUGGAAUGCGCAGAUAUCAGGAGGAACACCAGUGGCGAAGGCGGUUCUCUGGGCCUUUCCUGACGCUGAGGAGCGAAAGCGUGGGGAGCGAACAGGCUUAGAUACCCUGGUAGUCCACGCUGUAAACGGUGGGUACUAGGUGUGGGGUCCAUUCCACGGGUUCCGUGCCGUAGCUAACGCUUUAAGUACCCCGCCUGGGGAGUACGGCCGCAAGGCUAAAACUCAAAGGAAUUGACGGGGCCCCGCACAAGCGGCGGAGCAUGCGGAUUAAUUCGAUGCAACGCGUAGAACCUUACCUGGGUUUGACAUGGAUCGGGAGUGCUCAGAGAUGGGUGUGCCUCUUUUGGGGUCGGUUCACAGGUGGUGCAUGGCUGUCGUCAGCUCGUGUCGUGAGAUGUUGGGUUAAGUCCCGCAACGAGCGCAACCCUUGUUCACUGUUGCCAGCACGUUAUGGUGGGGACUCAGUGGAGACCGCCGGGGUCAACUCGGAGGAAGGUGGGGAUGACGUCAAGUCAUCAUGCCCCUUAUGUCCAGGGCUUCACGCAUGCUACAAUGGCUGGUACAGAGAGUGGCGAGCCUGUGAGGGUGAGCGAAUCUCGGAAAGCCGGUCUCAGUUCGGAUUGGGGUCUGCAACUCGACCUCAUGAAGUCGGAGUCGCUAGUAAUCGCAGAUCAGCAACGCUGCGGUGAAUACGUUCCCGGGGCU